rnacentral:rRNA from 1 species
UACGGGGGGGGCGAGCGUUGUUCGGAAUCACUGGGCGUAAAGGGCGCGUAGGCGGCCCGCACAAGUCUGCGGUGAAAACCUCCGGCUUAACCGGGGGCCGGCCGUGGAAACUGUCGGGCUAGAGGCUGGGAGAGGGCAGCGGAAUUCCCGGUGUAGCGGUGAAAUGCGUAGAGAUCGGGAGGAACACCGGCGGCGAAGGCGGCUGCCUGGACCAGUCCUGACGCUGAGGCGCGAAAGCUAGGGGAGCAAACAGG